AAUGCAUCAGUGUUCCCAGUGUUCUCUUGCUCUCUCUCCACAAGCUAAUUCUGGAGGCUGAAAGUGCAAGUUCAAGGCACCAGCAUGGUCAUCUGGUUAAAUAAAAUCAGGAGGCUAAAAGAGUGCUACGUGGGAAAAUUUUGCUUCUUACAAGAAUGUAACAACAGUUAUUAGCAGCAGUUAGCAGUCACUUUGAGAUUUCACGAAACAUGUAGUUCAGAAUCUACUGUCUUCCACGAAUUAAUGCUCUAAUUUUCAAUAUAUUAUUUUCAAAGCAUAAUGUUAAUGUAUGUAAAAUAAAAUGUAAAAAUAACUUAAAACCCUCAGUUUUCCAUUCAAAAUUUUGUCCACCUCCUUUUUCUUUCCUUCAUCCAUUUAAAAAAUGUUUUCUCUUCUUAUUUUUCUCUUAUCCUUCCUUGCAGAUUCGUUUGUUACUGGCUCUUUUCAACCAAUAUCUUCUCUCUCAAGUAAAUGUGCAUUUUUUUCCUGAUUUUCUUUUAAAUGUUCAUCUCUGUAGAAACCUUAAUGAAAUUAGACUUAA